GGAAGCUGCAGAGGCUGCUGGUCUGCUGCCCACAAAUUUCAAAUUUAUACAAGCAGUGGGGGAGGCCAUACCAUUAAGUGAUGCUUCAGUUGAUGCAGUUAUUGGAACUCUCGUACUGUGCUCAGUUGCCAAUGUUGAUCAGACAUUGCAAGAGGUGAAGAGGGUGCUUACACCAGGUGGGCUUUACUUAUUUGUGGAGCAUGUGGCAGCUAAAGAUGGAACAUUGCUUAGAUUUUUGCAGAACAUCCUUGAUCCUUUGCAACAGACAGUUGCUGAUGGCUGUCACCUAACCAGAGAAACAGGAAAGAAAAUUAAUGAAGCAGGUU
rnacentral:misc_RNA from 1 species